rnacentral:rRNA from 1 species
AUUGAACGCUGGCGGCAGGCCUAACACAUGCAAGUCGAGCGGAUGAAGGGAGCUUGCUCCUGGAUUCAGCGGCGGACGGGUGAGUAAUGCCUAGGAAUCUGCCUGGUAGUGGGGGAUAACGUCCGGAAACGGGCGCUAAUACCGCAUACGUCCUGAGGGAGAAAGUGGGGGAUCUUCGGACCUCACGCUAUCAGAUGAGCCUAGGUCGGAUUAGCUAGUUGGUGGGGUAAAGGCCUACCAAGGCGACGAUCCGUAACUGGUCUGAGAGGAUGAUCAGUCACACUGGAACUGAGACACGGUCCAGACUCCUACGGGAGGCAGCAGUGGGGAAUAUUGGACAAUGGGCGAAAGCCUGAUCCAGCCAUGCCGCGUGUGUGAAGAAGGUCUUCGGAUUGUAAAGCACUUUAAGUUGGGAGGAAGGGCAGUAAGUUAAUACCUUGCUGUUUUGACGUUACCAACAGAAUAAGCACCGGCUAACUUCGUGCCAGCAGCCGCGGUAAUACGAAGGGUGCAAGCGUUAAUCGGAAUUACUGGGCGUAAAGCGCGCGUAGGUGGUUCAGCAAGUUGGAUGUGAAAUCCCCGGGCUCAACCUGGGAACUGCAUCCAAAACUACUGAGCUAGAGUACGGUAGAGGGUGGUGGAAUUUCCUGUGUAGCGGUGAAAUGCGUAGAUAUAGGAAGGAACACCAGUGGCGAAGGCGACCACCUGGACUGAUACUGACACUGAGGUGUGAAAGCGUGGGGAGCAAACAGGAUUAGAUACCCUGGUAGUCCACGCCGUAAACGAUGUCGACUAGCCGUUGGGAUCCUUGAGAUCUUAGUGGCGCAGCUAACGCGAUAAGUCGACCGCCUGGGGAGUACGGCCGCAAGGUUA